rnacentral:rRNA from 1 species
UGGGGAAUAUUGGACAAUGGGCGAAAGCCUGAUCCAGCAAUGCCGCGUGUGUGAAGAAGGCCUGCGGGUUGUAAAGCACUUUCAGCAGGGAAGAAACGCCGGGGACUAAUACUCCCGCGGCACUGACGUUACCUGCACAAGAAGCACCGGCUAACUCCGUGCCAGCAGCCGCGGUAAUACGGAGGGUGCGAGCGUUAAUCGGAAUUACUGGGCGUAAAGCGCGCGCAGGCGGUUCGGUAAGUCAGAUGUGAAAUCCCCGGGCUUAACCUGGGAAUUGCAUUUGAUACUGCCGAACUAGAGUAUGGGAGAGGGAAGUGGAAUCUCCGGUGUAGCGGUGAAAUGCGUAGAGAUCGGAGGGAACACCAGUGGCGAAGGCGGCUUCCUGGCCCAAUACUGACGCUCAGGCGCGAAAGCGUGGGGAGCAAACAGG